rnacentral:tRNA from 8 species
GUACUUAGCUCAGUUGGUCAGAGCAAACGGCUCAUAACCGUCCGGUCGUAGGUUCGAGUCCUAAAGGGUACC